GCAUUAGCGGUUCAGUGAUAGAAUGCUUGCCUGCCAUGCAGACGGCCUGAGUUCGAGUCCCGGCCAGUGCA
rnacentral:tRNA from 1 species